GCAGGCGACAAGCUCCCGUUGGAUUCGUUCCCGUACAUGGAGCUGGAGGAGGCCGUGCUCUGGGAAGUCGAUGGCCAAUGGGUCGUUCAAGAAGCAUUUGACUCGGACAUUGGUGCCAACCCCUCUGCUGAGGGUGGUGGUGACAGACAAGGGUGUCGAUGGCCAAGCUGUGAAGGUGGUUGACACCUUCCGUCUUCAGGAGCGACCUGCCUUUGACAAGAAGCAGUUUGUCACUCACAUGAAGCGCUGCAUCAAGAUCCUCGGUGCCAAGCUUGAAUGAGAGGAGCAAGCUCAAGGCCCCUGAGUUGUAUUGACGACUCUCAGCGAUGCAUGCAUGGUGGGAGGGAGGCCCGACCCCGUAAAAUCAGGGCAGCCAACGAGCGGCCAUAUCUUUAUUUUUAGCCCGUGAUUAAUGCCAUGCCAGCCAAUGAGGGAGGAGGAAUUAAUUAUUACUAUAUGUAAUUUGUGCUGCUGUAUCAGAGAGCGGUUAAUUAGGAUCAAUGGGCGCCGCCGCCGAAUAUUAAGGAGGAUUUUGGCCCCAUAUCUUUUUGAGUUUUGGAUGGAAA